rnacentral:rRNA from 1 species
GGUGGAGCAUGUGGUUUAAUUGAGCAACGCGAAGAACCUUACCGGCCUUGACAUCCAAGAAUCAGAGAUGAUUGUGCCUUGGGAACUGAGACAGGUGCUGCAUGGCUGUCGUCAGCUCGUGUGUGARAUGUUGGGUUAAGUCCCGYAACGAGCGCAACCCUUUCCUUGUUCCAGCGUAAUGKYGGGACUCAAGGAGACUGCCGGUGACAAACCGGAGGAAGGUGGGGAUGACGUCAAGUCAUCAUGGCCCUUACGGCCGGGCUACACACGUGCUACAAUGGUUACAAAGRGWGCCAUCGCGAGCAGCUAUCUCAUAAAACCUCGUAGUCCGGAUCGCAGUCUGCAACUGUCGGAAGUCGGAAUCGCUGAUUCGG